AGAGUUUGAUCCUGGCUCAGGAUAGAACGCUAGCUACAGGCUUAACACAUGCAAGUCGAGGGGAAACGGACAUCGAAAGCUUGCUUCCGAUAGGCGUCGACCGGCGCACGGGUGAGUAACGCGUAUCCAACCUGCCCACCACUUGGGGAUAACCUUGCGAAAGUAAGACUAAUACCCAAUGAUAUCUCUAGAAGACAUCUGAAAGAGAUUAAAGAUUUAUCGGUGAUGGAUGGGGAUGCGUCUGAUUAGCUUGUUGGCGGGGUAACGGCCCACCAAGGCAACGAUCAGUAGGGGUUCUGAGAGGAAGGUCCCCCACAUUGGAACUGAGACACGGUCCAAACUCCUACGGGAGGCAGCA
rnacentral:rRNA from 1 species